rnacentral:rRNA from 1 species
UACGUAGGGGGGCAAGCGUUGUCCGGAUUUACUGGGCGUAAAGAGCGUGUAGGCGCCAGACAGGUCCGUUGUGAAAACUGGAGGCUCAACCUUCAGACGUCGACGGAACCGUCUGGCUAGAGUCCGGAAGAGGAGAGUGGAAUUCCUGGUGUAGCGGUGAAAUGCGCAGAGAUUGGGAAGAACACCGGUGGCGAAAGCGCUCUACUGGGCCUGCACUGACACUCAUGGACGAAAGCUAGGGGAGCGAAAGGG